rnacentral:rRNA from 1 species
ACUUUCUUACACCGAAUGCUUGCAUUCACCGUAAGAAGUUGAGUGGCGGACGGGUGAGUAACACGUGGGUAACCUGCCUAAAAGAAGGGGAUAACACUUGGAAACAGGUGCUAAUACCGUAUAUCUCUAAGGAUCGCAUGAUUCUUAGAUGAAAGAUGGCUCUGCUAUCGCUUUUAGAUGGACCCGCGGCGUAUUAACUAGUUGGUGGGGUAACGGCCUACCAAGGUGAUGAUACGUAGCCGAACUGAGAGGUUGAUCGGCCACAUUGGGACUGAGACACGGCCCAAACUCCUACGGGAGGCAGCAGUAGGGAAUCUUCCACAAUGGACGCAAGUCUGAUGGAGCAACGCCGCGUGAGUGAAGAAGGUCUUCGGAUCGUAAAACUCUGUUGCUAGAGAAGAACACGAGUGAGAGUAACUGUUCAUUCGAUGACGGUAUCUAACCAGCAAGUCACGGCUAACUACGUGCCAGCAGCCGCGGUAAUACGUAGGUGGCAAGCGUUGUCCGGAUUUAUUGGGCGUAAAGGGAACGCAGGCGGUCUUUUAAGUCUGAUGUGAAAGCCUUCGGCUUAACCGGAGUAGUGCAUUGGAAACUGGAAGACUUGAGUGCAGAAGAGGAGAGUGGAACUCCAUGUGUAGCGGUGAAAUGCGUAGAUAUAUGGAAGAACACCAGUGGCGAAAGCGGCUCUCUGGUCUGUAACUGACGCUGA